CCUACGUGCGGCAGCAGUAGGGAAUAUUGCUCAAUGGGGGAAACCCUGAAGCAGCAACGCCGCGUGGAGGAUGAAGGUUUUCGGAUUGUAAACUCCUUUUGUUAGAGAAGAUAAUGACGGUAUCUAACGAAUAAGCACCGGCUAACUCCGUGCCAGCAGCCGCGAUAAUACGGAGGGUGCAAGCGUUACUCGGAAUCACUGGGCGUAAAGAGCGCGUAGGCGGGAUAGCAAGUCAGAUGUGAAAUCCUAUGGCUUAACCAUAGAACUGCAUUUGAAACUGUUAUUCUAGAGUAUGGGAGAGGUAGGUGGAAUUCUUGGUGUAGGGGUAAAAUCCGUAGAGAUCAAGAGGAAUACUCAUUGCGAAGGCGACCUGCUAGAACAUAACUGACGCUGAUGCGCGAAAGCGUGGGUAUCGAACAGGAUUAGAUACCCCAGUAGUC
rnacentral:rRNA from 1 species